rnacentral:lncRNA from 1 species
AAACCAAAUUGUCUGAAAUUUUGUACAGUAAUUAAAAACCCGACAAAUUUUCAAUCUAUCAACUCAAAAUAUGAUUACAGCUUUUAAAUUUUGUGCGCGAGCCAUUUUUAAUUUGUUGGAAAAGACACACACCCCUGGUUCACAAAAUUUGAGUUCGAGAAUUUUUUUUCAUUAUUUUACAUUAUAAGUACCCAAAGAAGCUAUAUAUAUAAAAAACAGAUACAAAUAGGUGUUUUGCGAAAUUGAGAGCAAUUUCAAAUCUGUUCAGUUUUUUUUGAUACACCCUGUAUAGGGUACGUGUAUAAAAAAAUGUAACCUCGGAAUUUCCCAAGAAAUCCACUUUGCAAUUCUCAAGUAUAAUGCCAACAGAGAUUUUAGGCCCCUGGGAAUUGAAAUCGAAUUGCUAACAGAUCAUAUUACAGUUGUUGUACUGUACUUGUAAAAUAAAAAGGUAUUGUGUAUUUCUUUUAAAUGUUUUAAUUUUUAUUUCUUCGACUUUGUCCCAUGAGUACAAGACCUUGUGUUCUUAUACCCAUGCAACCAUUAUUAUUUCAAAGCAAUUACAGCUGUCAAAUUACUACAAUACGUUAUAGCUAAUUUGAAUUUGAAAGGGUUAAAUUCAGGUUUUUUAUACACACUGCAAAGACUUUGUUUUGUUUAUCUUUUGUUGAAUGCUCAUUAGUAUGCUCUAUAGGGUGUCCCAAAAAUACCAAAAGCAUUGAAAUUAACGCAUUGUUAGAAUUUGUGUGCAAUGCUAUCAGCACUCUGUUGAACCCACACGUGCAUCAAAGCUUGACUUCAGUAAAUUUUAUACAUAAAGAAACCGUUUACGAAGCUGUUUUAAAUUCCCAAGAGCAGAAAAUCGUGUGCUUUACAAAGAUAUUUUAAUUUCUUUAUAGCCUUUACGAAUCUUUGCAUUCAAAUUCAAAGGGAAUUCAAAACAAUGCGUUAAUUUCAAUGCUUUUGGUUUUUUGGGGACCCUGUUAUAGAGAAAACUAAUGAGUUAUAUAUAAAGGUCGCUAUGCGAGACAGUUUAUGGGAUAUAGACCACCAAAAGGCUGAGUUCUGAUUCCCUGGGUGGAUGUGAUCAUGGUCUAAGAUUCAAUAAGGCCACUCCAAAUUAGACUUUAGUUUCCCGUCCUCCGCCCGCGUCUCCUAGAACUGGCCGCAUGAUUUGUCCAUUAUUGCGAAGUUGUUUCCAUUAUUUGACUUUUGUUACAAACAAGUACGAAAAACCACAGUUUUCAAAUAAUCUAUCGUUCAAGAAAUACUUAUUUAUGAUACAACACGUAAAAAUCGAAAUAAAAUUCUUGAAACUUUUAUCAAAGAGCGUGAGUUUUUGUUCGUUUUCACUACAAACUGCUGAGCUACACACUUCCGUUACAAGUUCUGAUUUUUGAACGUCAAAACUGAUAAGGUUAAUAUCCUGACUUUCAUUUCUGCAUACAAAAACUCUAAAACAUUGCGUAGAAACGCGGCUGAAUGGAUAUUUAAAACGAGUAUCUAUUUCAUGAACUGAUAAUGGGCCGUGUUUCAUCUUUCAGACACCAUAAUGGAUAAUGGAAAUGGACCGCCCGCCCGCGUGUAAUUUGAAAUAAGGGCCGGACGGGAAACUAAAGUCUAAUUUGGAGUGGCCUAAUAUCGAAAUUUCUGGAUAUCUCGUUCGAUAGAAUAGUAUUGAUGGCUUUUUUGAAGAUUAAAUUUUUUAAUGCAAAUUUAUAUCCAUUUUUAGACGUAACUAGCGGAAGCAGCCACUGCUCCUGG